AACUCGGAAGUUAAGCCCUCCAGCGCCGAUGGUACUGCAUGGGAGACUGUGCGGGAGAGUAGGACGUUGCCGGGA
rnacentral:rRNA from 1 species